AAACCAGGCUGAAUGCUGUACAACAGAAGAGACAAAAACUUGUUCUGUGACAUUGCUGUAAUAAAAUGCCUCAUUAUUUCUUGCAGUUACAGAGAGUUAUCAAUU